ACAAAACUGACCUGAGGCCCUGUGUUCAACGCUGCUACAAUAGAAUAAGGUCUGACAUAACUUAUCCUGCUGAAACUGACCUGAGGCUCUGUGUUCAACGCUGCUACAAUAGAAUAAGGUCAUAGUCUGACAUAACUUAUCCUGCUGAAACUGACCUGAGGCUCUGUGUUCAACGCUGCUACAAUAGAAUAAGGUCAUGGUGAAAGGAGGCUGCAAUUCCCAAUUGUUAACUACCAGGUGUUGUUAACUAACAGGUGUAGUGUUAUUAACUAACAGGUGUAGUGUUAUUAACUAACAGGUGUAGUGUUAUUAACUAACAGGUGUUGUUAACUAACAGGUGUAGUGUUAUUAACUAACAGGUGUAGUGUUGUUAACUAACAGGUGUUAUUAACUAACAGGUGUAGUGUUGUUAACUAACAGGUGUAGUGUUAUUAACUAACAGGUGUUAUUAACUAACAGGUGUAGUGUUAUUAACUAA